rnacentral:rRNA from 1 species
AUGCCUCCCCUCUACGUAUUUUCGCUCGGGCUUCUCCUCCUCUUGCACAUUCCUCAUUGGUGCCCCUCGUCCGCAGCUGCAAGCGAUACCCUCACGGCGGGCCAAUCUCUCGCCGUCGGCAGCAAGCUCGUCUCGAGAAACGGCAAGUUCGCGCUCGGCUUCUUUCAGCCAGCAGCAGGCAUCACCAGUAAGUCCCAGAACACCACCAGCUCCAGCUGGUACCUUGGCAUAUGGUUCAACAAGAUCCCAGUUUUUACUGCUGUGUGGGUUGCUAACAGGGACCAGCCCAUCACUGGCCCCAACCUCAACCUAACACAGCUCAAGAUAUCGAGCUAUGGCAAUCUUGUCAUCGUGAACAACGAUUCUGUAGUUUGGUCCACUCACACUGUCAAUAAUAGGACACAAACCAGCAGCAUAAACACCACUACUGGUGCUGCCGUUCUCUUGAACAGUGGAAACCUUGCCCUUACAGUCACAGAGAGCCCAUCAUCAUCUGACCUACCGUUGUGGCAGAGCUUUGAUUACCCAACAGAUAUUUUUCUUCCUGGUUCCAAGUUUGGCCGGAACAAGGUCACCGGCUUGAUUCAUCAGAGCAUCUCAAAGAAGAGCCUCAUUGAUCCGGGUCUUGGCUCAUACAGCAUUGAACUAGAAGAAACCAAGGGGAUCGUCCUCAAGCGCCGCAACCCCUUGGUAGUGUAUUGGCACUGGGCAUCCUCCAAAACAUCAUCGUUGAGUCUUAUACCAAUACUCAAUUCCAUUCUGGAUUUGGAUCCACGGACCAAAGGUUUGAUUAACACAACAUAUGUUGAUAACAACCAAGAGGAGUACUACACAUACACUUCACCGAAUGAAUCAUCUCCCACAUUUGUCUCACUAGACAUCUCUGGUCUGAUAAAGCUGAAUGUUUGGUCACAAGCCAACCAGUCUUGGCAAAUUAUAUAUACCCAGCCUGCCGAUCCCUGCACUCCGGCUGCUACCUGUGGACCUUUCACAGUCUGCAACGGCAUUGCACAGCCAUUCUGUGACUGUAUGAUGAACUUCUCUCAGAAGUCACCUCUGGAUUGGGAGUUUAAUGAUCGAACAGGAGGAUGCAUCAGAAGUACACCGUUACACUGCAACACUAGUAGUAACAACAAAAACAUCACAAGUUCAACAGACAUGUUCCACUCCAUUGCUCAAGUUACAUUGCCCUACAACCCGCAAAGCAUAGACUUUGCUAACACACAGAGCGAAUGCGAAGAAGCUUGUCUCAGUUCCUGCUCCUGCACUGCUUAUUCCUAUAACAGUAGCAGAUGCUCUGUCUGGCAUGGGGAAUUGCUUAGUGUAAAUCUGAAUGAUGGGAUUGAUAAUACUUCUGAAGAUGUUCUUUACCUUCGCCUUGCUGUCAAAGAUUUGCUGCCAAGUUUGAGAAAAAACAAAAGAAAACCAAACGUCGGAGUGGUCACUGCUGCAAGAAUUUUUGGUUUUGGGUUACUAAUGCUCAUGGUGUUGUUACUUAUUUGGAGGAACAAAUUCAAGUGGUGUGGUUCCCCUUUAUACGACAAUCAAGGUAGUGCUGGUGGGAUUAUAGCCUUCAGAUACACCGAAUUAGUUCAUGCCACUAAAAACUUCUCAGAAAAGCUUGGAGGAGGUGGUUUUGGUUCAGUAUACAAGGGAGUGUUAAGUGACUUGAAGACUACUAUAGCAGUGAAAAAGCUUGAUGGUGCUCAGCAAGGAGAGAAGCAAUUCAGGGCCGAGGUGAGCUCAAUUGGACUGAUCCAACAUAUCAAUCUUGUCAAAUUGAUUGGUUUCUGCUGCGAAGGUGAUCACAGAUUACUUGUAUACGAACACAUGUUAAAUGGGUCUCUUGACGGUCAUCUAUUUAAGAAGAGCAAUAAUGCCGAUGCUGCUGUCCUAAACUGGAACAGCAGAUAUCAGAUAACCUUAGGAGUUGCCAGAGGGUUGUCCUACUUGCAUCAGAGUUGCCAUGAAUGCAUCAUACACUGUGAUGUUAAGCCAGAAAACAUACUUGUGGACACAUCAUUUGUUCCUAAAGUUGCAGACUUUGGGUUGGCAGCGUUUGUGGGAAGGGAUUUUAGCCGAAUUCUAACUACGUUCAGAGGAACUGCAGGCUAUCUUGCCCCAGAGUGGCUUACCGGAGUUGCUAUUGCACCGAAAGUUGAUGUUUAUGGCUUUGGCAUGGUGCUGCUGGAGGUCUUAUCAGGAAGGAGGAAUUCACCUGAAAUAUACAACACUAGCAGCAGCGGCAGUUACCGUGUUGAAUAUUUCUCGGUGCAAGCCAUCAGCAAGCUUCAUGGGGGAGAUGUGAGGAGUUUGGUGGAUCCACGGUUGCAUGGUGACUUCAAUUUGGAAGAGGCUGAAAGGGUUUGCAAAGUUGCAGGUUGGUGCAUCCAAGAUAAUGAGUUUGAUCGGCCGACGAUGGGUGAAGUCGUCCGGGUUCUCGAGGGUCUACAGGAGAUUGAUGUGCCCCCGAUGCCAAGACUACUUGCAGCUAUAACGGCACAACCUGGUGCUGCAACUUGA